CAAUUUCGUCUCAGAAUGUCACAGGAUCCAGCUGGUUCUUGGGCUUUCGUUGACCCUGACUUAUGGCUGCUCAAUAUGUAUCCUCCGUCUAGUAUUGGUAAUUGGCAAUAAGCAUGGGGCGCUUAAAAUGUUACGCAUUCAAUUACCAAGGUUCAUGCGUGAAUCAAUCAUGUGCUUAUACUCAUUCUUGUUUAAGAUGCUUUGAUCAGCACCCACUUAUGAUUCAGUGCCCCAGACAAGACUGUUUUCCUGAAGGCAGGCAAAAUGUAAGAUUGAAGCAAACUAGGCCUCAGUUUAGACCGAGAUUUAAGGCACGUGUAAGCAACUCGUUGCAGUAUCCCAUCAAUACGAACUCGUAUACUGGGCAAAAUAUGAAGUGAAUUUUUAGCAAAUGCAAUUACAAUUGAUCUUAAAGAGAUAUCAAAUUGAGAAUUUUUGUGAUAUUUAUCUUAUGUUUAAUUUUGUAUAGAAUUUGGAUUGUAUUGAUUUCGAAUCCAAACUGAUGUAUCAUCUAUUGGAUAAAGGGUGGACUCCAUUAAACACAACUGAAUUAAAAGAAUGUAACUUGGGGGUUAUACAAAAGUGUAGAUUCCUAGCUCCGGCUGAGGGGUUUACUUUUGGCUUAAGGUUAUCAUAUGAAACUACCGCAAAUAAAUUUAAUGUCUUAAGCACGGAAAUUCGUAUUAUCAUGUGAAAAUCAAUCAAGAGCUGGGAUCGGAUACUUUUAAUCUUAUUAAAUUGUUAAAUGUUAAUUUGAACCUCUCAAUUUAGCAACAUUUUUUUUUUUUAUUUAUUAAGAAUAUAUUAAAAUCAAGCACUAUAUUUGAUAAUUAACAAGCAAAUAUCAAAAUCAAAGUUAGUAAGGAUGUUGAUUCGUCCUCUAGUAUUGUUAUUAAUGAGUAAAUAUUUUCAGAUUCGAGCGUUGUAUAUUCCAGGCUCAAGUAAUGCAGGUGCAGAUUCUCUGUCUCGUUUUCGGGUGAUCCGUUCCCGUACAUUGGGACCGGAAGCAUUUAUUAUACCAGACAUUCCUAAUAUGAACUUUCAUAUGGUCAUUUCGAAACUGGAAUAGACUUUCAAAUAAACAAUUCGGUAGUUGAUAGUACAGAAAAGUUUACCCGGGCUUUAAAUUUGUUAAACAGUUUCAGGAAAGAUUUCGGUCUUGCCAAAGUAUGGCUUUCGUCCUUGCUGGACAUUGUUGCUCUUACUGCAUAUAUGUUAAAUUAGGAUUUGCUCAUUCAACCAUACGUACACAUCGAUCAGGCUUGAUCAGGCUUAGCAUUUACAAUAAGCUAAAUGAUUAUGAAGACUUUACUAAAAAUUAAUAGUAAGCGAUGGUUUUGAGCGUUCAAGGUUGCUUCAGAUGGACACUAGGCUGACUUUUUAAGAGAGAUAUUGCAUCGUAUUUUGUCAAUAUUAUCAGGUAUAUGAAGUUCUGCAUACAAAGCUAGGCUAUUCCAGGCGGUUUUUUCCUUGGGUUGACGUGGUCUUUUUAUGCAUGGUUGGGGAGUUAACAGUUCAAAAUAUGAGCAAUGCAUGUUCUACAAAUCAUGCUUUAAACAAAAAUGAUGUCAAAAUUUACAAGAAAUAUGUAGAAAUUCAUUUGGUUUCAUCUAAGACCGAUCAGUUUGGUAGAGGGUUAACUAUACACAUUCCUGCGCAAUUAGACAAAUGUGUAUUUGUCCAGUGGCUUUUAUUGCUUUUGCUAUUUGCCAGAUAGACUUGUAGUAGGUGGACCGCUAUUUUGUCUUUUGAUGGUUAGCUAGUUUGACUAAAUACCAAUUUUCUGCAAUACUCAAAAUAUCUUUACAUGCUUUAGGUAUUAAAUAUUCUCGUUGUUCGUCGAACUCAUUCAACAUAGGUAUGGACCUAUAAUGGUUCACUUCUAUAAAUUGGGACUUGGAUGGAGAUUUGUAUAUGGAGAUAGCAUGUGUCGUUGAUGGAUUAUCCAAUAAAAAUAUUUAGGUCGUUUGAAAGCGGGUGCAUAUUUGCGUUACAUAUACGAAUUCCCAUUUAAUUGUGUGUAUGUUGCUGAUUCUCCUAUAAGGGUUUGAAUUGUUAGGUCGACAAUUAUUAAGAAUGUGAUUUUGGAAGCAAGACAACGACCGGG
rnacentral:lncRNA from 1 species